CUUCGUGCCGAAUUCGGUGACCAGCUUCGCGUGCGUUGCGUCCUUUGCAAACGAUCCUUCGCAGGCCAGCGACGGGGCUUUCGGCGCAUCCUUCACAUUGUUGAGCGAGGUAUCUUGCGCCAUCGGCUCCGCCGGUUUGGCGGGCUUGUCGGCCUUCUUCGCGGCGUCAGCGCCGGUAACUGCCAGAGCGCAGAUCAGCAGGGC
rnacentral:misc_RNA from 1 species